UUGCUAUCCAGAGAGCGGCGUACGGGUGCGUAACACGUGUGCAACCUGCCUUUAUCUGGGGGAUAGCCUCUCGAAAGGAAGAUUAAUACCCCAUAAUAUGGUGUCCGGCAUCGGUCGCCAUUGAAAGCCUCGGCGGAUAGAGAUGGGCACGCGCAAGAUUAGAUAGUUGGCGGGGUAACGGCCCACCAAGUCGAUGAUCUUUAGGGGUCCUGAGAGGGAGAUCCCCCACACUGGUACUGAGACACGGACCAGACUCCUACGGGAGGCAGCAGUGAGGAAUAUUGGACAAUGGGUGGAAGCCUGAUCCAGCCAUCCCGCGUGAAGGAUGACGGUUCUAUGGAUUGUAAACUUCUUUUGUACAGGGAUAAACCUGCCCUCGUGAGGGCAGCUGAAGGUACUGUACGAAUAAGCACCGGCUAACUCCGUGCCAGCAGCCGCGGUAAUACGGAGGGUGCGAGCGUUAUCCGGAUUUAUUGGGUUUAAAGGGUCCGUAGGCGGGCCUGUAAGUCAGUGGUGAAAUCUCAUAGCUUAACUAUGAAACUGCCAUUGAUACUGCAGGCCUUGAGUAAAUUUGAAGUGGCUGGAAUAAGUAGUGUAGCGGUGAAAUGCAUAGAUAUUACUUAGAACACCGAUUGCGAAGGCAGGUCACUAAGAUUUAACUGACGCUGAUGGACGAAAGCGUGGGGAGCGAACAGGAUUAGAUACCCUGGUAGUCCACGCCGUAAACGAUGCUAACUCGUUUUUGGAUCUUCGGGUUCAGAGACCAAGCGAAAGUGAUAAGUUAGCCACCUGGGGAGUACGUCCGCAAGGAUGAAACUCAAAGGAAUUGACGGGGGCCCGCACAAGCGGUGGAUUAUGUGGUUUAAUUCGAUGAUACGCGAGGAACCUUACCAAGACUUAAAUGGGAAUUGACAGAUUUAGAAAUAGAUCCUCCUUCGGGCAAUUUUCAAGGUGCUGCAUGGUUGUCGUCAGCUCGUGCCGUGAGGUGUUAGGUUAAGUCCUGCAACGAGCGCAACCCCUGCCAACAGUUGCCAUCAUUCAGUUGGGGACUCUGUUGGGACUGCCUACGCAAGUAGAGAGGAAGGUGGGGAUGACGUCAAAUCAUCACGGCCCUUACGUCUUGGGCCACACACGUAAUACAAUGGCCGGUACAGAGGGCAGCUACCUGGUGACAGGAUGCGAAUCUCGAAAGCCGGUCUCAGUUCGGAUUGGAGUCUGCAACUCGACUCUAUGAAGCUGGAAUCGCUAGUAAUCGCGCAUCAGCCAUGGCGCGGUGAAUACGUUCCCGGGCCUUGUACACACCGCCCGUCAAGCCAUGGAAGUCUGGGGUACC
rnacentral:rRNA from 1 species